AUAUAUAUAUAUAUAUAAAUCAGCUACCAUUUGCUUUCAAGAAGGGUCCACACUCCACUGCAAACCGACUGAUGUUUUGCUUUCACACAUUCAAUCCAUAUCCGAAUUGGGGUUUUACUUUUUUUUAUUUUUUUUUAGUUCUGUUCUUUCUUAAACUGUUGUUGAUUAAAUUAUUCAAAAGGGUCUUGAAAGCAGAUUUAAAUUAUUCGUUUUGUUGAAUAAAAUAUGUAUUGCUUUAGAGUUUAGAAUCUGUGUGCUGUUUUUCUUUUCUUUUUUCUAAGUUUGCCAUUACUAUUACUCUUUUAGUCUUUGAAAA
rnacentral:lncRNA from 1 species